rnacentral:tRNA from 1 species
UCUAAUAUGGCAGAAUAGUGCAAUGGAUUUAAGCCCCAUAAAUAAAGAUUACUUUUUUUAGAA